rnacentral:rRNA from 1 species
CAACGGAUAUCUUGGUACUCGCAUCGAUGAAGAACGUAGCGAAAUGCGAUACUUGGUGUGAAUUGCAGAAUCCCGUGAACCAUCGAGUUUUUGAACGCAAGUUGCGCCCGAAGCCAUCAGGCCGAGGGCACGUCUGCCUGGGCGUCACAC